GUGAUGAGGGAGCAUCAGAGAGAUUCUUCCGCCUGCCCCCAGCUGUGUCUGUCCCUCUCCCCCGCUGCCGGCGGGUCCCACUUCCCUUCACCAUCCUGCCUCGCUUCUCCGCGGCCGGCCUGACUUGGUGGCAUUUCCUGCCCCGAGAUUGACAGCAAGAUAAGGUCCACAGCAUGGACCAAAUCAGGGAAGGCAGGCUUGGGUUAGGAGAGGGGAGAAAAGGCAGGACCAUCCUUCCGGCUUCUUUCAAACUGUGUUUCCUAGCUGCCUUCUCUUGGAAGAGGCUUCAGCGGUCUGCCUUGGAUCAAUCAGUGUCAUCUAUUUGCAAGGGCCUUUGCUCGACAAAGAGACGAGAGCCAACAGGUGUUUAUGAGACAAGAUGAGCCCUAAGCAACUGCCAGUCAUCAUUGGAAAACGUGCUUUUAACUUAGCUGGUGGGUUUGAAAAUCUGACUCCUUCUCUGGGGGUGGGGGGCCUGUUCGUAGCCCCUCCUCCCCCCGAAGACAUCUAACGGUACUUUCCAUAAGCGGGUAACACAUUUCCCUGUUUCUGCGUUCCCCUCCACUCCACGAUCCAGUGAAGUCAGAUUCUCCUUGUGAAGGUUUUAGGCCUCUCUUGGGGGUCCUCGUGGGCAAGAUUUAAAUAGUUCCAGAUCAGCUGUCUCUCCGAUGCCAUUCUCAGGCUCCCCAAACUCUGAGAGUGUGGGCUACCCCCAACACAGCAAACUCCUCCCAGCUGCCAGAUCUCUCCCCUGUGAGAACUUUUUGUCAUGAGCUGGACCCCAAGCCGUUGUGUUUCCCCCAAGUUCUGGGGACGCCUUUCAGACACUCUAGGUGAUCCUGUUGCAACCUUACAUUGGCUUGAGGUGAGCUCGAUAACUCCAGAAAAAUUCUAUCUAAAAUCCUUCUUCCCUUAGGAGGCACCUGUGAGGCUCAGUUGGUUGAGCAUCCAACUCUUGGUUUCGGCUCAGGUCAUGAUCUCGCAGUUCGUGAGUUCGAGCCCCGCAUCGGAGCCUCCCUUGGAUUCUGUUCCUCCGCCACUCGCAGUCUGCUUCUCUCUCUCUCUCAAAAAUAAAGAUUUAAGAAAAAAAA
rnacentral:lncRNA from 1 species